rnacentral:rRNA from 1 species
AUUGAACGCUGGCGGCAGGCCUAACACAUGCAAGUCGAACGAGUGGCGGACGGGUGAGUAAUGUCUGGGAAACUGCCUGAUGGAGGGGGAUAACUAUUGGAAACGGUAGCUAAUACCGCAUACCAUCAGAUGACCCCAGAUGGGAUUAGCUGGUUGGUGGGGUAACGGCUCACCAAGGGGACGAUCCCUAGCUGGUCUGAGAGGCUGACCAGCCACACUGGAACUGCGACACGGCCCAGACGCCUACGGUAGGCAGCAGUGGGGAAUAUUGCACAAUGGGCGAAAGCCUGAUGCAGCCAUGCCGCGUGUAUGAAGAAGGCCUUCGGGUUGUAAAGUACGUUCAGCGGGGAGGCGUUACCCGCAGAAGAAGCACCGGCUAACUCCGUGCCAGCAGCCGCGGUAAUUC